AUCAUUCUUCUCAUUCACGCUUUCAUUCAAGCGUACAAAACCCUAAUUUUGUUCAUCGCCGACAAGCAAAUCUACCACCAUCUCUUUCGAUUUCAUUAACAUCUGCAUUGUUUUGGGUUUUAUCUCAUCUUUUGUGACAAACAAUCUAUGGUGCUGAGUUGAUUGAUUCAGUUCUGGAUUUCCAACGAGCGAUGAUUGAAGUAGAGAUCUCUAAAGCAAUGGUGUGGUAACUCAAGUGGCGGCGGCGGUGGUGGUGGUGCAAUCAUUUCGAUUCAACCAACCAUCUGGAUUCUUGAGCAGAUCGGUUGCAACUAAGACGAGAUCCUAGUAGUACAUGGUGGUCAAGGUUGGUUCCGACAACCCGAUUCCGAUUUAGCGGCCACAUGUAUAUUUUUCGAGAACAAAGUUCUGGAGGCUUUAAUGAUGAUUCUAACAGCUGCAGUAACGAUUUGCGACACCGUAAGGGGCUAUUAACGGAUAUUUGUUAUGUGAAAGAAUAGGUGGUGUUCAUAUUGGGUUGAGUUAGGGCACAAUAAGUGGGUGAUUCGGGACAUUUGUUUUGGUGUAAUUGUUGAUGUGUGUGACCUCAUUGAUGGCUGAUUAAGGGCUGGUGUGAGUGGGAAAUUGAUGGCGAUCGCAAACAGAGGUCAACAUGUUACAGCACAGCUUGGUUAGCGACUAUGUCUCGAACGAGUGCUCAGAGGCAGAAAAUUGGUUGAGGGAGAAAAAGCAACUGCAGGAAUCGCUUCCAAAUCAUGCUGAACCAGUUCUUCUGUCAUCUGAUAUUAGGAAGAAAGUCGAGGCACUUGAUAGGUAUUUUUAGGCCUAUAAAUGAACCGAACGAACACGAAUAGAGGCAUGUCCGUGUUCGUUCAUUGAAUUUUAACCAAACGAACACGAACAUAAAAGAAUAACCCUUUCUGUUUCAUUAGGAGAGUGUGUUCAGGUUGGAGUUUGUGUUUGUUUUCUUUAUUUAGAUGUUUUGAUUUUUGAAAUUGUGUGAUUGUUUUUUGCCUUGAUGUGCAGUAUUGAUUGUUUUUUGUCUUAAUGUGAAAAUUAAGGGGGUGGAGUUUCUGUUCGCAGAGGGAACAUACAACCUUUCAUUCCGCCUAGAACUUGGGUGGUUGGGUAAGUGGUUUGGGCGGCAGGUCUGCAACUGUGACCUGAUUCAUGGGUGGGACCGAAAGCCGGUUAGAUUACAACUGUAUGGUCAAGAAGUGGUAUCUGAAUGCUACUGUAUUGUUGCGUUAUUCAUUUACUAUUAUAAAAGGUGCUUAAAAGGUGUAUUCUUUUAAUAACUCAGCAUCAUUUACUUUAAUCAUUUACCAAGCCGCCCGUUUAACCAUUUGCUUGACUUUGUUUUUAUUUGAGAUUUUUUGUUGAAUAUGAUAGCUAUAUUACAUAAUGACUUUUAUGGUAACUCUAUAUUUUGUUUCAAUCCACUUCUACCACUUGUGGUGCAAGUAGUUUAGCUAAAAAAGCUGCAGGGUUUUUGGUCUCAGCUGGUGGGGAAGUUGUAUCACAUAUGGUCAAUGCAUUUCAUGAACAUCAUGAUGUUUCAGUCUCAGCUUUUCAGGAAUUGGAUGGUGUCAAAAUCUUGGUUUAAAAAGGCGCAAGUGGUGCGUGCUUAAGCGCAACACGACCCUAGGCGCAAAGAGUUGCGCCUUGUGUGACAUAAGGCGAGCUCUGUGCAAAAAGCGCACAAAAGCAAGCUUUUGGGAAAAUAAAAUCCCACUGAGGCACUCGCUUCUUCUACAUAAGGUGUUUUUGUGCAUUAAACUGAUAUAUAUGUAGCUGAAAUGGUUGUACAUUUAAGUGAUUUAUGCAUUAAAUCAUAUAUUAUAACUAUAAUUUGGGUUAGGGAUGCUAAAAAUCCUAUAGGAUAUAUAUACAUGUAGCUAAAAUGGUUGUAUAUUUGUGUGUCUGAUUUUAUGUAUAAUGGUUUUCAGAUGAAAGGCUUAAUGAUAUUGUGGGCAGUGCAUUUCUUUUUAUAAAUAAUAAGUAAUUCAAAAUGAUCAAAGAAGCCAUGUUGUUCAGGUUAAAAAAAAUAUAUUUAGAGUAAGAUAAUUAGGAAGUUUUUGUAACUUAAAAAGUGUUUUUGGUGACGUCUGGGUUCUGACCCGUUUGACUAACUAUUUAUUUUAGCUGUUUGACCAUUCAAAGGGUCGGAAUUACCACCUGUAUACCUGACUGUAGCUUGAUAACUUUACCAUUAAUCUUCGUAGAAUUCCAUUUUUGAUGGUUUGAAAUAUGUGUGACAGGAUGAAAGCAGGUACAAUGGGAGCAAAGGUGCACACAUAAAUCUCAAGCGGGUUGAAAAAGGCCCGAAUUUUGGUUAGCAAAAUCCCAGAACAUUGAUAUGAGUCACCCAAUCUUUGGUACAGAAAGCUGCCUUUUACUCAACCGUGAUCCAGCCUUCUUUCAAUUCCGAUCAACGGCACGUGAGGACAUUCCUUGAUUCAUGAAGGAAUCCUGCCUUUUACUCAAUUGCAAUCCAGCCUUCCUUUAAUUCUGAUCAACGGUGCAUGAGAACAAUCCUUGAUUAAUAAAGGAAGCGACAGUGAUUUCAACCCAGGCGUUUCGGCUGUGUUCGAUUCUGACCAAAAACACUCCUGAAUCAGGUGCGGUUAUUCAAUUGGAUAGAUUGUUGCAGCCAACUCCAUUUGGUCAUGACGGGGUCCGUUCAUGGAUGUAAGUCCUUUAGGACUGAGCUUAUUUGGUCUGAACGGAAAGCCCUUUCAAAUCAAGUGGGACUGUGGAAAACUUCUUUGCUAAGAGGUAUUGCUGGUCUUUGGCGUGCUGGCAGGGGAAAUAUGACAUUCCUAAGCAUACACUAGCUGUGGUUCCUACGUUUCGUAUAUAUAAUGAUGA